GUAUUUCACCAUCUUCCCCUGAACUCAUAAUCUUCCCCUGAAAACCUGAAUCUCCUCUUCUCCUAACCCCCAUGAAGGGGCUGUCAUCUACCAAGUCACCCCACCUAGAGAUGUGAGAAUCAUUCUGGAAUCUCCCUCUCUAUCACGAACCCCAAUACUUCUAGCUAAUCACCAUGUCUCUCUAAUUCUACUUUCUAAAUAUUUCUCUUGUCCAUGCUACUUCUGUUUUCUGAGCUCAGGCCCUCCUCAUAGAUCUGGAACAUUGCAAUUGCAAUAACUUCUUUCUUUCUUUCUUUUUCUUUUCUUUCUUUUUUUUUUUUGACAGAGUCUUGCUAUGUUGCCCAGGCUGGAGUGCCCAGCUAAUUUUUGUAUUUUUAUUAGAGACAGGGUUUCGCCAUAUUGGCCAGGCUGGUCUCGAACUCCUGACCUCAAGCAAUCUGCCCGCCUCGGCCUCCCAAAGUGCUGGAAUUACAGGCGUGAGCCACUGCUCCUGGCCUGCAAUAGUUUCUUAGCUGGUCUCUCUGCUUCUAGUCAUGCUCCCCUAAUCUACUGUCCUCACUGCUGGCAGCCAUCUGCCUUUGUUUUCCUAAAUGAAAUAGAUUAUUUUCUGAUUAUAUUAAAAAUACAUGUUCAGCCAGGUAUGGUGGCUCAUGCUUAUAAUGCCAGCACUUUGGGAGGCUGAGGCAGGAAGACUGCUUGAGGCCAGCCUGAGCAACAUAGUGAGAUCUCAUCUCUACAAGAAAUUUAAAAAUUAGCCAGGCAUGGUGUCACACACCUGUUGUCCAAGCUACUGGGAAGACUGAGGUGGGAGGAUAGGUUGAGUCAUGGGAGGUCAAGGCUGCUGUGAGCUGAGAUCCUGCCACAGCACUCCAGCCUGUGUGACAGGGUGAGACCUGUCUCAAAAGAAGCAACAACAAAAGACAUGAUCAUUUUAAAAAUUAAUAAGGAAAAAAAUAAAAAGAAUGUAAACUUUGCCUAAAAUUUUACCACCGUGAGAGAACCAUGUUAUUUUGGUGAUCAUUCUUCUUUGCAUUUUUUAUUCCUAUUUUUAAAAAUUACAUAUCAUACACGCAGUGAGUGGGUUUUUUCCACUCUCCAGCUUCAUUGCAGGACAUGCCUUGCCUUGCACCUUAAGGCUGUAAAUACGGAGUUGCCUAUAAUCUCUUUGAGUACACCAUGUUGUUUCUCACCUCUCUGCCUGUGGUUAUACACCCUGUAUUAAUUUCCUAGGGUUGAAGUAACAAAGUGCAGGACUUAAAAAUAGCAGAAAUUUAUCCUCUUACAGUUCUGGAAGCUAGAAGUCUGAAAUCAAGGGGUUGGCAGGACCAUGACCCUUCCAGAACUUCCAGGGGGAGGAUCCUUCCUUGCCUCUUUCAGUUCCUGGUAGGCCCAGGCAUUCCUUGACUUGUAUAGCAAAACUCCAAACUCAUGUGAUCAUCUUCAUGUGGCCAUCGUCUCUGAGUCUGUGUGUCUCUCUGUCUUCACAUGGCAUUAUCCCUGUGUGUCUGUCUCUGUGUCUAAAUUUUCUUCAUCUUAAAAGGACGCCCAGCCAGGCAUGAUGACUCACAUCUGUAAUCCCAGCACUUUGGGAGGCUGAGGCAAGAGGAUUGAGGCCAAGAGUUCAAGACCAGCCGGGGAAGCAUAUCCAGCCGAGCUGCCAUCUCUUCAAGGAAGUUUUCCCUGAAGCCCUCAGGUAGACCCGUUUUUCCAUGGCGGCCACAUCAGCAUGCAGCACAUUUAAUUGGAAGUCUCCACAUAUGAGUUGGUUUUCCUUACUUAAAAUAUGCUUAUCAUCCCUUGGAGCACUUGAAAAUAUUGGCUAUUUCCUUCUGACCCCCAUGGUUUCUUUUAAAAAAUUUGCUGUUGUUUGAAUUAUUUUUCUCUACAGGUAUUGACUGCUGCCUCAUGAAGGCUGGUCCUGUCUCUAUAGUGAAUAUUGUGCACCUCAGGGUAGAAUGGAGAGCAGAAGACUUCAAAUCAGGCAGUCUGGGUUCAGACCCCAAUUCUAGUGCUAAAUAGCUACGUGACUUUAGGCCGAUUGUGUGUGACUUCCCUGAGCCCCAGUCUCUUUGCCUGCAAAAUGAGAAAAAUUAUAACAAUGUCAUCGGUUGUUCUGAGGAUUCUGAGAGGAAUUAGUAGGAGAGAGAACUAAGAAGCUGCGGGCCUCUACAGAGCCAUUCAACUGGCAUUUCGGAAGAUGUUGCCCAUCAGAGUCAGACCUUCUUAGCAUCUUCCGGCUGGGCCCAAACUUCCCAAGACCAUUUGGACAAGGUCAUCUCUAUCCCACCAUGGCCUCCUCCCAGAGGAGGAGAAGAAUCAUGCUGUUACAGCAGAACCGAAGAUUUGGGCAAGGGAGCUAAUGAUUAUGUUCUGCGUCAGGUCAGAGAUGGGCUGGGAAAGCCACUCCAAAGCCAAGACAAGCAGUUUCCUGGAAAAAGAAGGCUGCGCGGAGCCCAGAGUGGCCUGGAUCCUGCCUCAUUUCCUGGACCAGCUCCUUAGGUGGUUACUGGAUUGCCAAUAAAGCAGAGCUUAUUAAAGUCAACGAGCUCAGGCUUCAUCGCCGCCAUGGUAUCCAAGCACCAGUCUGUCUGGGAUUUCAUUUGCCAGAUGGACAAAGGAGAGGUUGUUCCAAUACAUAUCCUGAGUGGUGGGGGUGGGGAGAGAAGGGGAAGAAUGCUCUCUAGAGAAUUCUCUUUGUCCUCUGAAGUAAAUAGAGAUCAUGUCUUCCCCAGCCACACUCAGUGAUCUGAAUCUCUUGGACUGUGGAUUUUUCCUUUACCUGCUGUGAAGCCUUGAAAAGUAUGAAUUAGCUUGAUAAUGAUCCUCUAAAGAUGUUCAAGAGUUAAAGACGUGUUUAAGUUCUUCAGGCAAUCCAAUAUGACUACGGGUUUCCAAAAAUUUGAAGGAAACUGAAAAUCAUAGUUCCCAAACCAGAUAUUUUCCGGUGUCCAGAUGUUCACUGGCAUGCAAACCAAAUGUCUGGAUUAUGAGCUCCUUUUUUCAUUUCUUUUUAUCAGCUUACAUCCAGAUGUUGGAUCCAACUGGUCAGAGGCCUGGGGCAGAGACAGAAAUCAAAUCUAGGGUGUUCAUCUAGAGUCUCCUGCUCCUCCAUUCCUGCUUCCUCCUCACGCUGCCCCCACAUCCUCCCCAACUCACCUUCAUGCUACAUCUCGGCAAAUACAGCUCAUAUCCAGGCACGGUGCAGCCCUUGACAGCUGGGUCCGCAAAGGCAGAUCGGGUAUAUCUUUAAAGAAAAGUUAUCUUAACCAUUGAGAAGCCUUCCUUCCUCAGAGGAGAGCACCUCCCCAGCAGACCUCCGAGGAGACCAAGGGCAGGACAGGAAGGGUGAAAGGAAGUUUCAGGACUGCAGGAAAUAAGAGCUUGGAGGUCAAGGGAGAGAUCAGAUAAAACAUGAAUCUGAUCAGCAUCCUAGUGGUCUAGAGUGGAGACAAUCUGCGGAGUCAACCUCAGUAAGGACACACAUAGAGAAGAACCAAAGCCUCUAAAGACGAAGCUGAGAAGUGUACGGUCGUAGAAGACUCGUGUCUGUUAUUCUUAAAAGCUCAAGGAGAUGUUCUGCCAAUUGAAUGGAAACUGUCCAUAGUGGGGAGCAGAGAGCCUCAUCUUUUCUGGAACUGAACAUCCAUCCUUAAGGCCAGAUUUCUCCCAUCACCAACUUUAACUCCUGCCCUAGCCCUCUCUCUUCCUUUUCAAAACCCUCUCCACCCAGGAAGGGAGAUUCUGGAGCCAAGACUGUACCAGCCACACCUCCCCAGAGUUGUUAAGGAAGGAACUCGAAGCCAGGGGUGGUCUUCUGGCAAGCACCCCCACUACCAGUAGCAGGACAGAUGUGUUUCUAAUGGACUACACUAUCCCCGGAGGUCACAUGAUUCAGGCUGCCAAGGGUACCUGCCCUUGGGAAAUCAACUCCCGAAGAUAAAUUGGGAUUGGGUCCUGAGAAGAUCCAUGGAAGCCCAGAGGACCCUGCCUCUCUCUGUUGCUUCAUGCUGUAGAGGCAGUACUGGGGAGGGCCUGCCCCACAUCCGGCAGGGCAGCUGGAACCAUGUGUUUGAUGACACUCUGCUCCCUCAAUGUGGAGCCUCAUCCUCAUCUCACAGUCUAGCAGGCCUCUGGUGGGUUAGGCUUGUCUCACCCAGUGUGUGAGUUUUUUUGGAAGUGACCUGAUUUUGGAGUUUCCCUCCAAGCCUUUCUCAGGUACAUGCUUUCUCUUUUAUUCUGUCUUCUUUUUUUGAUCUUCUUAAAUCUGAUUUUCUCCUUUUUCCCUCUCUUGUCUCCAUCUUUUUUCCAGUCUCUCGCUUCUCUUUAUUUCUCCCCAUAUUUCACUCUGUUCUCUCACCCCAACCUUUCCCUUCUGUUUCUCUCCCUCCCUCUCUUCCCACCCCCUGCCUGGCCUUCCAUAUAUCAAGCAGAGUUUUAUCACCUUAUGCAGGGGCAGCCCUGCCACCUGCCAUAAAGUUGAUAGGCUAAUGACAUUUUGUGGAUAUUGCCAUGUCACAAGUCCAGGACAGCAUCAAAAAUAGCCCUGAUGUCUAAACCACUUCAGCUAUCUUUUUUAUUUUUAAAAUAAAUACAUUCACAUGCUUUUAAGAAACUAUAAAAAUAUAUAAAGUAAAAAGAUCUUUCUCUCACACUGUCUCCACCUCUCCUGGUCUCACCGUUGUGCUUAGGGGAAACCAUUGUGAUUAGUUUCUCCUGUGUCCUUCCAGAGUGUCUUUAUGCAAAUGAAAAUUAUUGUGAUAAUAUAUUCCUAUUUUCCCCCUUACUACACAAAAGAUAGACUACCAUAAUCCCAUUCUGCACUUUUUUUUCACUUGAUAAUAAAAACAUGAUUUUAUUAA
rnacentral:lncRNA from 10 species